UACGUAGGGGGGCAAGCGUUUGUCCGGAAUCAUUGGGCGUAAAGAGCGUGUAGGCGGCCCGGUAAGUCCGCUGUGAAAGUCCAGGGCUCAACCCUGGGAUGCCGGUGGAUACUGUCGGGCUCGAGUCCGGAAGAGGAGUGUGGAAUUCCUGGUGUAGCGGUGAAAUGCGCAGAUAUCAGGAGGAACACCGAUGGCGAAGGCAGGUCUCUGGGCAUUAACUGACGCUGAGGAGCGAAAAGCAUGGGGAGCGAACAGG
rnacentral:rRNA from 1 species